rnacentral:rRNA from 1 species
UACGAAGGGGGCUAGCGUUGCUCGGAAUCACUGGGCGUAAAGGGUGCGUAGGCGGGUCUUUAAGUCAGGGGUGAAAUCCUGGAGCUCAACUCCAGAACUGCCUUUGAUACUGAAGAUCUUGAGUUCGGGAGAGGUGAGUGGAACUGCGAGUGUAGAGGUGAAAUUCGUAGAUAUUCGCAAGAACACCAGUGGCGAAGGCGGCUCACUGGCCCGGUACUGACGCUGAGGUGCGAAAGCGUGGGGAGC